AUAAUAGUCUAGAAGUACUGUUUAGGUAAACUGAACACAGACGAACGGAACUGAUUGGUUCCACAAAAUACAGCACCUUUAAGAGCAUCUAUUGGUCUAUCAAAAUUGACGACUGUCUGAAACAUAAAGGUGGCAGGAGUAUGCAUGUGAUAUUAAUCAUCACGACAAUUGCGCUAGUAUUUCCGGAAUUCUUGCUUUUGUCGCAAGAGUAGUCCCACUAAUUAACUGGCGGACAAUAUCUGGUAAACACAGUUGUACUAAAUACUCGGCAUUACAUGAAGUAUGAAAUUGCAAUCAUUAAAUACGGCUGUGAAUCAUUUUGUUUACUGGACAGGUGGCAGGAGUAUGCAUGUGAUAUUAAUCAUCACGACAAUUGCGCUAGUAUUUCCGGAAUUCUUGCUUUUGUCGCAAGAGUAGUCCCACUAAUUAACUGGCGGACAAUAUCUGGUAAACACAGUUGUACUAAAUACUCGGCAUUACAUGAAGUAUGAAAUUGCAAUCAUUAAAUACGGCUGUGAAUCAUUUUGUUUACUGGACAGGUACGUAUUAUUUUUUAAGCAGGUUCAAAGUACGGUAAAAAUCGUAUAGUAGGUAAAAGAUGACACGUACGCCAUUGUCUUGCCACCUGUCGAUUUCCUUGAAAGACCAAGAUCUGUAGUUGUUCUGAAAUAUUGAUUACACAUUGCACUACUAACGCGUUCGCUGAUAAACAUGUAAUUGCUCAGUGAAGUCGUUCGAAUUUCUACCAAAGCCAUUAUGUUUUCGUUUGCAGUGUUUUCCGAUAUAACUGCGCAACGACGUUAUUUAUGUGAUGCAAAAAAAUAAAAAAACAAUUAUUACGCACUUGAUUAAUUGAGUACUUGUAUCAUAUCUGUUUACCUUGACGACGUUAAUAAACGUGUAUACAUACACACAUUGUAUCUGGCGAUAUUUAGAAAGAUCCAGCACAGUAAUUUUUGGGAAGGUUUACAGUAUCACUUGCUAAUUAAAGUAUAUGUACUAAUCAUCGUGAUUUAUUAA